UACGGAGGGAGCUAGCGUUGUUCGGAAUUACUGGGCGUAAAGCGCACGUAGGCGGCUUUGUAAGUUAGAGGUGAAAGCCCGGGGCUCAACUCCGGAAUUGCCUUUAAGACUGCAUCGCUUGAAUCCGGGAGAGGUGAGUGGAAUUCCAAGUGUAGAGGUGAAAUUCGUAGAUAUUCGGAAGAACACCAGUGGCGAAGGCGGCUCACUGGACCGGUAUUGACGCUGAGGUGCGAAAGCGUGGGGAGCAAACAGG
rnacentral:rRNA from 1 species